CUGGAAGACCAGAGACUCUCCGCAUAGCCUUUUUCUUGUCCUUGUCAUCGUGUAAAUCCAAUUUCAACACGGCUUUCUGCAACAUAUUACAAGUUCAUGUAAAUUCUCUUGUAUAAUCAAGAAACUAGAAGAAAAGAAAGCUUGACCCAUUCUUUCAUGCACGGCAUGCAUCUUAAUCUCAUAGCUGGGCACUAACAGAGAAUAUAGAGAGAGAAUUGAUCCUCACCAUCAUUUUUAUAGCUCUGAGAUGGAUCUGAUCAGAGAAGAUUGAAGAUGAAAGACAGCAACUAAAGAAAGUUUGAGGUGAAGAACUCAGACAGGAGGAGGUAAAGAUUAUAGACUUGUUGAGUUGAAGAGGCAUUGGCCGAGAUUUUAUAGUGAAGGGAAGAAAACUGUAGUGGCAACCUCACACGUCAGGACCAGAAGUCUAUGGUCAAUGGUCAAUGAACACACUGUUUGACCGGAAGGGGAAAGCUCCUUGGUGUUUCCAGUACUGCUGAAAAUUUCUUCGCUUUCAGUAGGUGUUUCUUGAAGUGAACUUAUUUUAUUUCUUUAUUAUUAAUUAACGACAAGCAGCUAAAAGGCAACACUUUUUUUAAUGUGUCUUUAUCUUUUUAUUUUUUACUUUAUGCUAUUCACGAAGCUCCAAUUGAUGUAUAAAAUUAUAUUUUUUUACUUCUAAUUUUAUUUGCAUUAAUAUUGUUUGUAGUACAAAGCAUGACAUUAAUAAAAUCAUCAAUUGUUUUAAAAUAAUAUUGCAGGUGUAUAUCCUCUUCAAAAAAAUCUUAAUACAUCAAAAAAUAAUUAUCUAUUACUUUUAAGACCUCUAUAAAAUAAUAAUGACAAUAUUUAUUAAUAAUAUAACUAUCAAUUUAAAAUUCAACUUCUUAUUAAAAAUAAAUUUAUAAUUCAAUAAAUAACCAUCAUCUCUAUACAGAUUCAAUUUUACAUCAAAAUAUGAACUAAAUAAUAAAAUUAGCUACAAAUAAUUGGUACCCAGCUAAUUAUUCAUUACUUGUUCAAUUUAAAUUUAUUCAACUUAAAUUAAUGUCUUUUAAUUAUUAUCAAUUUCAUAAAAAAAAUAUUUUUUAAAAAUUUCAUUAAAUUUCCAACUUGACAAUAAAAUUAACAAAAUAUAAUUAGUAUUCAUUAAACAACUUAUCAUUUUUUCAAUUAUAACAUAUCUAAGCUAGAAAGUAAAACUUAAUUUUAUCAAAUGACAAAUAAAAUUAAUUCCCUCUAAAUCUCAAACAAACAUUAACAUAUAAAUUAUAUAUUAAUACAACAAAAUUCUCUAAAAAAAAGUUGCAAGACACUUAAAUAUUCAAGCAAACUAUAAAUAUUACACAAAAAUUUUAAUAAAUUAGCCUAAAACAUGAAUAAGUUAAAAAAAAUAAAUUUACCUACUUAAUAUAUAAUAUGAAGCUUCACAAGAAAUUGAAAAUAGAUUUAGGUCACUAGUGGUGAGGGUUUAGAAGAUGUUUCGAAGUGGUAAUAGUUAUUUUUUAAAGUGUUUUUUAUUUCAAAACAUAUUAAAAUAAUAUUUUUUAUUUUUAAAAAAUUAUUUUUGACAUUAAUAUAUCAAAAUGGUCUUAAAACAUCACAAACAUAUUAAUUUUAAAAAAAUUUGGAAAUGGUUUGUUUUGGAGGUGAAACCAUCAUUGAUAGGAGUCGCCUAACAGAAUUAGAGUUCUACAUCAGCUGUAAGUUUAUAGUUUAUAGGAGACUAGAGGUUUGCAAGAAUUAUGACCGUGUUAAAGUUAGAAUCAAUGUUAGAGUUUUAUUCUUAUUAGGAGAUAGUUAUUUGAUUAAUUUCUUCACGUUGUUAGAUAGUGUUGAGAAGUCUUUGCCUAGUAUGAUUUGUAAAGGCUAUUUAAAGCCAUCUUGAUUAUUUAGAAUACAUAGAAAACUUCAAGAGAUUUGUUCAAAAGUGGGAGAUCAUACUGGUGUAAACAUGAGUAGAAUAGGAACUUUGGAGAAGGAUUUGGUGGAAUUAGUGGGGAAAGUGGAAAGUCUGAUUGUUCUGUCACGAAGGGAGGUUGAUAGAAAGGCACAGAUGGCGCAAAAAAUUGAGAAUUUGAUGGAGGAGUUGACCCUUGAGAAGGAAAAGAACUUCAAGUUAAAGAUGGAAUUGGAGACUAUCAGAGAAGGAACUGUUGAGAAGGGUUUAGUGGAAUUAAAGGGGCAAGUGGAGAGUAUGUAUGUUCUGUUACGAAAGGAGGCUGAUGGAAAGGCACAGAUGGUGCAAAAAAUUGAGAAUCUGAUGGAGGAGAUGAUCCUUGAGAAGGAAAAGAACUUCAAGUUAAAGAUGAUAUUGGAGACUAUCAACUUCGUGUCUUCUGGUGCGUCUACCGCUGCUGCUUUCAAUUGAUUAAGUUUUUUUUUACAAUGAUAUUAAGUACGGAAUGUGUUGAAGAUGGAUAUUUGGCAUGUCUAGAUUCUUAUUUCUUGAGUUUUUAGGAAAAUAAAUAUUUUUCUUACUUGGUUUUAUUUUUCUUAAGUUUUCUUAUUUGAUGCUUCGGCUACUGAACUCCUUGCAUAGCAGUUCCUUUUACUUCCAGGCACCUUGCUCUUUGUUUUUCCAGAUGAAUUACAUUUUUGCUUAUCACUGUAAUCAUAGCAUCAAGUGUUUGAUGUAAUUGAAUUUUCAAUAAUUAAACACUUACAAAUAACUUUUUUUUUUGUGAUUACUUGUAUACUUCUCGUAAUUGAAAGUAAUGCGUGAUUCGCCAUGCAACUUGAGAAGAUAUCAUGAUCAUAAACUCCUCUGUCACACUUUGCAAAACACUAAUAUAAAAGAGUGAUAAAUACUGGCUGGAUUUACAAGGAUUGUGGCUGAAGUUAAUUACAACAAAACAAGGGAAGGGGCUGCUUUAUUUUUUUAUUUUUUUGGCAUGAAGAAAAAGAAGAAGAACGUGGGGUGAGAGAUAACGGUUGGGUUUUUUUUAUUUAUUUUAUGAACUAUCAGGUUUUAAUUUAUUUAAUUAUGUAAAUUGACUAUUUUGUCGGGAAAUGCUGAUGUGUCAAAUUUUUUACAUAAUCAAGUUGUUUUUAACAUUAAAACAGUGGAUUGGAAUGUGGUUUUUGAUUUGAUUCCUCAUCAUCUGUCUUACUGAAUAAAAAUUAGUGACCUGGAUUUUUCAUACACAGGAAUUGACCUGUGUAUCCUAUAAUUGGACUUAUUCAUUGUAUAGAUGGUGGUUGCUAUCCCCAGUUCAUGGCUGUAGCGGUGGAGGAGAUUCUUGAAAGGUAGCCAUGGAGAGAUGACAGAUUAGGAAAGGUCAAUAUUAUUGUUCUGUGAUGGGGGCCUUCAGACCAGUACUGGGGAUAUAUAUUGUGGCUAUCAUAGAAGUUAUUAUUGACUGGUUGUUUGUUGGAGUUUUUAAAGUUGAAAGGUUUGUCGAAACAAUAUUCCCUAGCUUUUUAUUGUCAUGGAUUGUAGGGUAUGGUUACAAAACCGAACCGGUUUAUGAAAUUAAUUUGGAAAUUGAUUGAUUUAGACUCUAUUUUAAAUCGAGUUUUAUAAUUAAUAAAAAAAAUUGAUACGGUAUGAUUAUUAAGAAUCUUAGUUGAGAAUUUAAUUAAUUUAGUUGAGAAUCCUUCUAACUCACAAUCUCUUGAAUAAAUCUCAUACAGGACAUAAUAAUUAUGACAUGGGAUGAAUAAUUUUGAUUAAUUUUUAAUAUAAUGUAUUUGGAUUUAAAUCUCAUAUCGGAUUUAAUAUAUAUAUAUAUAUAUAUAUAUAUAUAACAAACAAACAAACAUACUAAAUGAAGCUUGAUGAAACUGGGUAUUAUGCUUUAAUUAAGAAGUGAAUUUGUUUAAGCAUCUAAUCAAAAAAAUUAAGAAAUGACACAAUCAUUAGGAUCCUCUCGGCAUUUCUAACGUGAUAAUGCGUGGUCAAAUAAGGGUUAUAGGCCUGAUAAGCCUUAUAGCAUCUUUAUCUUUCUUAUCGUCUUCUGGCUUCUUCGGCUCUUCUUUCUUCUUUUCAGGCUCUUUUGCUGGUCCUACUGAGAUUAUGUCUGUGUGGCAAAUCUUUCUCAGUUUGGCCACUAUGUUCACUGCAUCGAUGUUCCCAACCACUGUCAGCUUCAUGUCCUUCAUGUCCAUGGAUAUUGAAUCCACCCCUGCAAAUUUCCAUCCCAAAACGCUUAAUUUACAAAAAAUAAAAUAAUCAUAGACGCUUCAAUAAUAUUAUUGAUUUAUAAUUCAAUGAUCAUAAGAAAAAAUUCAGUACCUGGAAGCCCAGAGACUCUCCGCAUAGCCUUUUUCUUGUCCUUGUCAUCGUGUAUAUCCAAUUUCAACACGGCUUUCUGCAACAAAUUACGAGUUCAUGUAAAUUCUCUUAUAUAAUCAAGAAACUAGAAGAAAAGAAAGCUUGACCCAUUCUUUCAUGCACGGCAUGCUUCUUAAUCUCAUAGCUGGGCACUAACAGAGAAUAUAGAGAGAGAAUUGAUCCUCACCGUCAUUUUUAUAGCUCUGAGAGGGAUCUGAUCACAGAAGAUUGAAGAUGAAAGACAGCAACUAAAGAAAGUUUGAGGUGAAGAACUCGGACAGGAGGAGGUAAAGAUUAUAGACUUGUUGAGUUGAAGAGGCCUUGGCCGAGAUUUUAUAGUGAAGGAAAGAGAAAACUGUGGCAACCUCACACGUCACGACCAGAAGUCUAUGGUCAAUGGUCAAUGCACACACUGUAUGACGGAGGAAAGCUCCUCGGUGUUUCCAGUACUGCUGAAAAUUUCUUCGCUUUCAGUAGGUGCACUUUCUUGAAGUGAACUUAUUUUAUUUCUUUAUUAUUAAUUAACGACGAGCAGCUAAAAUGCAACAUAUCCUAUGAUUUAGUUUUAUUUAUUUAUUAAUUUUGAAACAGCUAAAAAUUGUUUUUAAAAUAUUUUUUAUUUUAAAAAAAUUAAAAUAAUAUAUUUUUAUUUUUUAAAAUUUAUUUUUAAUAAUAACACAUCAAAGCAAUCCAAAAACAUUAAAAACAUUAAUUUAAAGUAAAAAAAUUUAAAAUUUUUAGUAGCGUUAUUGGAAUGUACUCCCAAAUACACCAUCACAUAAAAGAGAGUAGAAUUUUUGUGGAUUGUGAUGAUAAUGGAAGUAUUGCAAAACCAUUUUUCAUGUACCAAAACUAGUAUUAUUAAACCAACUCGGAUUGUGGAUCAACUCGAUAAACCUGUCAAGCUAGCUCAUGAUUUAGGCAAGGUUUCAAAUUAAAUCAGGUAAAAUAUAAUUAAGAAUAAAUUUGAAAUUAUGAUUAAAUUCUAUAAAUAUUAUGUUAUCAAUAAAACACAAAUAAAAAUAAAAAAAUUUCUUUUAUUAAGUUGUACCCGUUCUAAUGCAUUUAACUUUAAACUAAACUCAGUCAAGUUAGAAUAGUAAAAAUAUACAAUAUUCAUGUGAACAAUGGAGCUCUCCAUGUUAAAAAUAGCAUUGUGCUGUUUUUAGUGAGCCUGCAUUUUCAGAGCAGAAUUAAUGAGACCCAUGAAUAAUGAACUGAGUUUUAUCAGUUAUCAAAUAUUUGUUUCCUGUGGGUGGCUUUAAAAGCAAAAACAACCACGGAAACAAACUGUAUUAUAUAAUUAAAGGAGUCGUUCCUUUGUUUGUUGACUAUUAAACAAAGGCUGCAUCUCCUCUUUCGUGGAAAAACUCUCCGGGUCCAUGUCAAUAAGCUCAUGGUCUGAAUUUCCAGAAGAGUUUUGAGGCUCAAGUAAUUGGAAGAUCGAGCUAGAAGACUACAAGUCAAUGCAAGAAAUGCAAAGAAACUUCCCUGCUACUUUAGCAAUUAAUUAAAAAUAGAGAUUCAAACUUGUAGGCUGUGACUUUGGCUGAUACACAGGACCUUGUUACAGAUUAUUAAAAAAACAUAUUUUUUAGUAAAUAAAUGGAUUUUGUAAAAUUUUGAUAAAAAAAAAAAAAUAGUAGUAGUAAAUAAUUGGAUAUUAAUUCAAUAAAUGGUCAAUCCCAGUUAUAUUUUAAGGUAAACAGUCUGGUAAAAAAUCCCUUUGUUUUAUGUUCUAAUUUAAUUAGAAUCUGCUCCAUAUAUAGUAAGGACAGGGAUUUUCAAAACGAAAUCAAAAGAAUUUUAAUAAUAAUAGUAAAUAUUUGCAUUUCCACUUCGCUUGUUUAAAGAAUAUCAUUAUAAAAAAAAAAAAACAAUUUCACUGUAUAAUAAUUUUAUAUGAUUCGGUUAUACAUGCAUCCACAAGCGGUUGCAGGUCAUCUGGGAAAUAAAUAUUCAAAAUUGCAGCCCUUGCCUCUCUUCUCUUCAACUUACAUGGCUGCUAUGCACAGUACACCAUUUUUUUGAGGUAGUGUUUUGGGAUUUGGCAUAAGAUGUUUUUUUUAUAUAAAAAAAAUAUAUAUAUUUAAAAAUAUAUUAGAAUAAUAUUUUUUUAUUUAUGAUAUCAACAUAUAAAAAUCAUUAAAAAUCAAUAAAAAAACAUUAAUUUAAAGCUAAAUAAUUAAAAAUUAAAAAAACACAAUUUGAUUACAUUUCCAGACAACAACUUUAAUUAGUUAAGAUAAGUUCUGAGCAAUGUUUGCUGUUCUUUUUGUUCUCUUAGUACUUGUUUGGGAUGAACAUGUUUUUUCAUGAAAAUUUAAAUGAUUUUUUUUGUUUUAAAUUAAAUUUUUUGUUGUUAUUUAAUAUUUUUAAUGUAUUGAUAUUAAAAAUAAGUUUAAAAAUAUAUAUAUAUAAUCUUAAUAUUUUUUCAAAUAAUAUUUACAACACUCUAAACAUAUGCUUCAUCAAAUAAAAAACGAGCUUCAUUCACUAAACUAACAAUGGCUUGUCGUGCAAGCACAAGGAGGGGAGGCCUCGAGCAAGCUUGUUCGAGACACAAACGGAAGACACCGUCAAAGGGAAGGAUCUCCGAACAGUAACACUUUGUACUUAGAGCGUGUUUGGCAUUGUUACAGCGGUUGUUUUUCAAAUAAUUUUUCGUGUCGAAAAACAUGUCAAUGAUGUUUUUUUAUUUUUUAAAAAUUAUUUUUGAUAUCAGCACAUCAAAACGAUUCAAAAAGUACAAACCAUACUCAAUUUUAAUAAAAAACAAAAAUUAAAAUUUAUCAAAAUACAAAUACAACACAAACGCAGCCUGAAACACUCCCUUAAAAGUCAAAGGGGAAUGUUAGUUCAGAAGAAAUACAAGUUUAUCAUGUGUAACAAUCAUGUGAUCUUCUCGAAGGCAACAGCAGUUCGGUAAGAUACUCUGAAGCAUAGUUUUAAGACCCGGCCCGGUCCAAGGCCCGGGUUCCGGGUUUUGACCGGGUCACCGGGUCGCCGGGUCAAAAAUUUAUUUUUUAAUUUUUUUAAAAAAAUCAAAACGACGUCGUUUUCGCAAAAAAAAAAAGUCGACGGGUUUGGGGUCGGGUGUUGACCGGGUCAACCGGGUUCCGGGUCGGCCGGGUCUGGCCGGGUCAAUUCCCAAGCGGGUUUUGGCCUUCACCCGGACCGGUUCCAUACCCGAGUCGGCCGGAUCCCGGGUCAACCCGCCGGGCCGGUCCGGGUUUUAAAACUAUGCUCCGAAGGGUCACUGCAAAUCGUUCUUUCCAAGAAACCCAGCCACUCAAUUGAUGGUGCAUAGUUUUUUUAUUAAAAAAAAUAAUAAUUAAUUUGAUAGCUUUUGGGCCAAAUGCCCAAACGUUUGUGUCUCGGCCCAAAUAGAACCACUUAAGCUGUCUAGGUUCGGCCUAAACGGACUGCAUCCCCUAUUUUUCUUCUUUUUUAUUUUUCGAGUUUCGAGCGGUUAUGAUGUAGUGUCUCGCUUUGCCUUGCCCAUCCGCAUAAUAUUUCUUUAAUGAUUAAUUGGUAUAUUUUAUGAUUUAUUAUUUAUAAAUACAAACUUUUAGUAAGCAGUAAGCAUUAUUUUUUUUCUCUGUUUGUUUUUUGAAUUUUAAAAAUAUUUUAAAAAAAAUAAAUAAAUAUUUAUUUUUUUUACUUCAAAUUAAUAAUAUUAUUUUUUUAGAGUUUUUAAAUCAUUUUAAUGUACUGAUAUCAAAAAUAAUUUUUAAAAAAUAAAAAAUAUAUUAUUUCAAUGCAUUUCCUAGUAAAAUAUACUUUUAAAAAAUAUUAUAGCUGAUUAUCAACAUUGCAAAUAUAUAUCAUUUUCUACUUGACUCGAGCGUUUUUCUUUCCUUGACUAAUGAGUAUUUCUCGCAUUGAUACUUAUUGAUUUGUCUACUAAUGAUAAUAUUAUACACUAUGAUUGAGUAUCUAUAUUUUUUACCAAUCAAUAAAUAGUAACAUUAUUUUUCAUAUUUGAAGUGUUUUGAAAUUGAAGUUAUAAAAUAAUUUAAAUAUAUAUAUAUAUAUAUAUAUAUAUAUAUAUAUUAAUAUUGAUGAUUUUUAAUUAAAUAUUGUGGAUUUAAAUAUUGAUAUUACAUCAUGAAAUAAAUCACUUUAUAUAAAAAAAAAUUACUUUAACAAAAAAUUAUCUACAAUUCCAUUACGUAUAAAAUUCAUCCGACAAGAACUACAAAAUUAGGUAAAAUAUUAUCAAGAAUAAAAUUAAGAUUACAGUACAGGUAAAUUUAAUUCACCUUAAACUAAUUUAAAAAAAACAAAAAAAAAUAUGUUGUUCACGUUACGUGAACAAUGCGAGUGAAAUCAAUUAACUACACUGGUUUUUCGAGAAAAAAAAAUUAUUUAGCGAAUAGUGGAGGAUAUUAUUCACUAAACAGUGGAUGCAUGCCUUAACUGUUUCAAAAAAAAUUGUUCAGUGAACAGUGGAGCAUGCUCCACUAUUCGCUGAACAGUAGCAUGAAUUAGAUUUUGGCCGCGCAGGAAGCAGCUCCUAGCUGCUUCUCUUUUUCUUACUUUUCAAACGCAGCAGCACGUGGGACCCAAUAAACAGUAGCACGUGUUUAUUAUUAACCAAAUAGCUUGUUGCAUAAAAUCACAAGAAACGUGGACGCAACCACAUUGCCAAAUAGUUUCGUUCAAGUCAAUGCAAGAAAUGCAAAGAAACUUCCCUGUUACUUUAGCAAUGAAUUAAAAAGAUUCAAACUUGUAAGCUGUGACUUUGGCUGAUACGCAGGACCUUGUUACAUAUUAUUAAAAAAACAUAUUUUUUAGUAAAUAAAUGGAUUUUGUAAAAUUUUGAUAAAAAAAUAAUAAUAGUAGUAGUAAAUAAUUGGAUAUUAAUUCAAUAAAUGGUCAAUCCCAGUUAUAUUUUAAGGUAAACAGUCUGGUCAAGAAUCCCUUUGUUUUAUGUUCUAAUUUAAUUGGAAUCUACUCCAUAUAUAGUAAGGACAGGGAUUUUCAAAACGAAAUCAAAAGAAUAAUAAUAGUAGUAAAUAUUUGCAUUUCCACUUCGCUUGUUUAAAGAAUAUUAUUAUAUAUAUAUAUAAAAAAAACAAUUUCACUGUACAAUAAUUUUAUAUGAUUCGGUUAUACAUGCAUCCACAAGCGGGAGAGAAAAGUUUUUUAUUGCAGGUCAUCUGGGAAAUAAAUAUUCGAAAUUGCAAGCACUUGCCUCUCUUCUCUUCAACUUACAUGGCUGCUAUGCACAGUCCACCAUUUUUUUAAGCUAGUGUUUCGGGAUUUGAUAUAAGAUGUUUUUUUAAAAAAAAUUAUUUAAAAUAAUAUUUUUUAUUUAUGAUAUCAACACAUUAAAAUUAUUAAAAAAAAAAAAAAAAAUUUAAUUUAAAAUUUUAAAAAAACAACUUUAAUUAGUUAAGAUAAGUUUUCAAUACUUGAGCAAUGGUUGCUCUUUUUAUUCUCUUAGUACUUGUUUGGAGAACAAUAUGCUUUUCAUGAAAAUUUAAAUAUAUUUUUUGUUUUAAAUUAAAAAAUAUAUAUUGUUUUUGAAUAGUUUUAGUAUGCUUAUAUCAAAAAUAAAUUUUAAAAAUAAAAAUAUAUAUAAUUUAAAUCUAUUUUCAAACAAUAAAAUAUUUUAAAAAAUAAUAUUUACCACACUCUAAACAUCUGCUUCAUGGAAUAAAAAACGAGCUUCAUUCACUAAACUAACAAUGGCUUGUCGUGCAAGCACAAGGAGGGGAGGCCUCGAGCAAGCUUGUUCGAGACACAAACGGAAGACACCGUCAAAGGGUAGGAUCUCCGAACAGUAACACUUAAUGCUUGAAGUCAAAGUGGAAUGUUAGUUCAGAAGUAACAGAAGUUUAUCAUGUGUAACAAUCAUGUGAUCUUCUCGAAGGCAACAGCAGUUCGGUAAGAUACACCGAAGGGUCACUGCCAUCGUUCUUUCCAAGAAACCCAGUCACUCAAUUGAUGGUGCAUAGUUUUUUUAUGAAAAAAAUAAUAAUUAAUUUGUUGGAUUUUGGGCCAAAUGCCCAAACGUUUGUGUCUCGGCCUAAAUAGAACCACUUAAGCUGUCUCGGUUCGGCCUAAACGGACUGCAUCCCCUAUUUUUCUUCUUUUUUAUUUUUCGAGUUUCGAGCGGUUAUAAUGCAGUGUCUCGCUUUGCCUUGCCCAUCCGCAUAAUAUUUCUUUAAUGAUUAAUUGCUAUAUUUUAUGAUUUAUUAUUUAUAAAUACAAACUUUUAGUAAGUAGUAAGCAAUUUUUUUUUCUCUAUUUGUUCUUGUAUUUUAAAAAUAUUUAAAAAAAAUUAAAUUUUUUUUUUAUUUCAAAUUAAUAAUUUUUUAAAAAUAUAUAUAUUAUUUUAAUGUAUUUCUUAAUAAAAAGUACUUUAAAAAAAAUAUUAUAGCUAAUUAUCAACGUUGCAAACAUAAAUUAUUUUUUACUUGUCUCGAGCAUUUUUCUUUCCUUGACUAAUGAGUAUUUCUCGCAUUGAUAUUUAUCAAUUUAUCUACUGAUAAUAUUAUACACUAUCUAACAAUGAAUAUCUAUAUUUUUUAUCAAUCAAUAAAUAGUAACAUUAUUUUUUAUAUUUGAAGUGAGCUGAAAUAUCUAAAAUCUAUAAAUAUCUUCAUUAAAAAAAAUACUAGAAUAGAAGAUAACAAAGCCGUAAUAAAUAACCUACUUAUCAUUUAUUUUUUAAAAAAUAUCCUAAAGCAAACAAUUUAUUCAAAUAAUAAUAAUAAUUUUUAAAAGGUGAUGCUCGGGCUUCUAGGCCCGUGCAUGUUUGGGCUUUUUAUCAUUGGUUAAUUAUAUAGGUUUAACUCUUUUGAAAUUUUAAUUAUUUUUAUUUUUAAUUUUAAUCAUUAGCUUUUUAUUUUCGAGUUUCGAGCGGUUAUAAAUUAUAAUGCAGUGUCUCGCUUUGCCUUGCCCAUCCACAUGAUAUUUCUUUAAUGAUUAAUUGAUAUAUUUUAUGAUUUAUUAUUUAUAAAUACAAACUUUUAGUAAUCAGUAAGCAAUAUUUUUUUUCUCUGUUUGUUUUUUUAUUUUAAAAAUAUUUUUAAAAAAUUAAAAAAAUAUUUUUUUUUCUUUACUUUAAAUUAAUAUUUUUUUAGUGUUUUUAGAUCAUUUUAAUAUACUAAUAUAAAAAAAUAAUUUUAAAAAAUAUUAUUUUAAUAUAUUUAUAAUUGAAAAGCACUUUUAAAAAACAUUAUAGUUGAUUAUCAACGUUACGAACAUAAAUCAUUUUUUACUUGACUCGAGCCUUUUUUUUCCUUGGCUAGUGAGUAUUUCUCGCAUUGAUACUUAUUAAUUUAUCUACUAAUAAUAAUAUUAUACACUAUCUAAUGACGAAUAUCAAUAUUUUUUAUCAAUCAAUAAAUAGUAACAUUAUUUUUCAUGAUUGAGGUGUGUGAAAUAACUAAAAUCUAUAAAUAUCUUGAUUAAUCAGAACAAGUUUUUCAUGUCAUUAAUUUCUACUCAGUAUUUUUUUAUAUUUUCUCUAACUUUCUCUUAUGUUAAAAGAUUUGCUUGAGGUUAAAAGACCCAUAAUUUCUCUUACAUUACACUUACUUCUAUUUCUUUAUUGUAUGAAAUCAAGCAUGGUUCAUUCAAAUCUUGACAGAAUCACCAUUUCCAGAGAUAUUUUGUUUUCUUUUAUUAGUCCCUGAGAUUUUUAAUGAUGUCCACUUCCAUCACUAGUUUCUUUUACUUUCAAUUCAGUCUUCUAAAAUCUUGUUUCUCGUGAUUUUCUGAACUCAAAUCUUUUUAAAUUUCUCACCUACCUUGCCUUGCAUGUCGUGAAAUUUCCUAGUAUUGAAUUAACAGUCAAUUUUGAAAUGAUUAAUUUUUGCUUGUUAAAAAAAUGUAAUUUAAAAAUAAAUGACAAAAAGACAUCAAUGACAAAAUAAAAGGCCUUUGUCACCAAAAGCAUGCAAAGCUAUAAUUUGGUCCUUCAAGUUAAUUUUUUUCUUUUGUUAGUCCUUUUUUAGAUUUUUUUGUUUAGGUCCAAAACUUUAUUUUAUUUAUUUUAGAUUCCUAGAUCUUGAAAUAAAAGAGCGAAAACCGCUAAAAAAUAUAAAAAAGAAAGCUAUUGGAUGGCGAAAUUCCAGGAUAUUAAGGUUUCAAUUAUGUGUUUUAAGAUGUUUUCAAAUAAAGAGAGCUAUUUUUUUUACUUCUAAUUUUAUUUGCAUUAAUAUUGUUCAUAGUACAAAGCAUGACAUUAAUAAAAUCAUCAAAUGUCUUAAAAUAAUAUUGCAGGUGCGUGUAUCCUCUUUAAAAAUCUUAAUACAUCAAAAAAUAAUUAUCUAUUACUUUUAAAAUCUCUAUAAAAUAAUAAUGACAAUAUUUAUUAACAAUACAACUAUCAAUUUAAAAUUCAACUUCUUAUUAAAAAUAAAUUCACAAUCCAAUAAAUAAUUAUCUAUACAGAUUUAAUUUUGCUUCAAAAUAUAAACUAAACAAUAAAAUUAGCAACAAAUAAUUGGUACCCAACUACUUAUUCAUUACUUAUUCAAUUUAAAUUUAUUCAACUUAAAUUAAUAUCUUUUAACUAUUUUCAAUUUCAUAAAAAAUAUUUUUUUUAAUUUCAUUAAAUUUUCAACUUGACAAUAAAAUUAACAAAAUAUAAUUAAUAUUCAUUAAAUAACUCAUCAUUUCUUCAAUUAUAACAUAUCUAACGUAGAAAAUUAAACUUAAUUUUAUCAAAUGAAAAAUAAAAUUAAUUCCCUCUAAAUCUUAAACAAAUGUUAACAUACAAAUUAUAUAUUAAUAUAACAAAAUUUUCUAGAAAAAAGUUGUAAGACACUUAAAUAUUCAAGCAAACUAUAAAUAUUACACAAAUUUUUUAAUAAAUUAACCUCAAACAUAAAUUAUUAUUUUUUUUGGCAUGAAUAAAAAGAAGAAGAAAGUGGGGUGAGAGAUAACGGUUGGGUUUUUUUUAUUUAUUUUAUGAACUAUCAGGUUUUAAUUUAUUUAAUUAUGUAAAUUGACUAUCUUGUCGGGAAAUGCUGAUGUGUCAAAUUUUUAACGUAAGCAAAAUUUGGACUUAUUUCCAAUAUUUUUUUCUUCUUUUAGUCUUCUUUGAAUUCAUUGUAUUGAUUAUUAUAUAUAAAAAAAACUGUUGGAGUUUAUUAAAACUAAUUUAUUAAUUCAUUUAGUGUAAGAAAUAAUUAAACAAUCCUUAACUUGUGUUUAUGAUCUUCAAUUUUAUCUACUUCUCUUUUGAUUUUGAUUUUGAUUUUUCUAAAAACAAAGUAAAUUAAAAGAGAGCAUGAAAUUGAUAAGAGAGAAUUGAGUUAUAAAUGGAUUAAAAAAAAUAAAAGGAUUAAAUACAUUGUUUAGUUUCUGAAACCGUAAGUUAUAAAUGCAAGGGGUGGUAUGGCAUCUCAAGAUUCGUGGUUGAAAGGCCUGAGAUGGUGGUUGCUAUCCCCGGUUCAUGGCUGUAGUGGCGGAGGAGAUUCUUGAAAGGUAGCCAUGGAGAGAUGAUAGAUAAAGUAUGUUUUUUUUUUUAAUUAAUGUGAGUGUUCGGGCCAGCUUGCGUGUACCUUGAUUCAUUUCACGGAUUCUGAAGUUAAGAACCAUAUAAAUCUUCAAUAACCAUUAUAUGAACAACCACAAGAUUCGAACUUGAGAUUAUAUAAAGAGCAAACUCUUUAGUUCCAGGUUUUUUACUACUAGACCAUCGCUUAGAUAGUUAAUAAAUUUGUUUUUUUCUCCUACUUGGUGGAGCCUCUGGAGAUCAGGAAUGGCCAAUAUUAUUGUUCUUUUGAUGGCAACCUGGAGACCACUGGGGAUAUUGUGGCUACCAUAGAAGUCAUUGUUGACUGGUUGGUUGUGGGAGUUUUUAAAGUUGAAAGGUUUGUUGAAACAAUAUUCCCUAGCUUUUUAUUGUCAUGGAUUUCAGGGUAUGGUUAGGAAACCGAACCGGUUUAUAAAAUUAAUUUGGAAAUUGAUUAAUUUAGAAUUUAUUUUAAAUUGGAUUUUAUAAUUAAUAAUAAAAAAAUUAAUCCAGUAUAAUUAUUAAGAAUCUUAGUUGAUCUAGAAUUUGGUUAAUUUAGUCGAGAAUCUGUUUAUUAUUAAUAUUUUUUUUUCAAAUUGAGUUAAUCCUUGGAACUCAUAAUUUCUUGCAUAAAUCUCAUACAGGACAUAAUAAUUAUGACAUGGGAUGAAUGAUUUUGAUUAAUUUUUAAUAUGAUGUAUUUGGACUUAAAUCUCGUAUCGGAUUUAAUAUAUAUAUAUAUAUAUAUAUAUAUACAUACUAAAUGACUGGGUAUUAUGCUUUAAUUAAGAAGUGAGUUUGUUUAAGCAUCUAAUCAAAAAAAUUAAGAAAUGACACAAUCAUUAGGAUCCUCGUCGGCAUUUCUAACGUAAUAAUGAAUCCUGGGCCAAUAAGGAUUAUAGGCAUCUUUAUCUUUCUUAUCGUCUUCUGGCUUCUUCGGCUCCGCCUUCUUGGGCUCUUCUUUCUUCUUUUCAGGCUCUUUUGCUGGUCCUACUGAGAUUAUGUCUGUGCGGCAAAUCUUUCUCAACUUGCCCACUAUGUUCGCUGCAUCGAUGUUCCCAACCACUGUCAACUUCUUGUCCUUCAUGUCCAUGGAUAUUGAAUCCACCCCUGCAAAUUUCCAUCCCAAAACGCUUAAUUUACAAAAAAUAAAAUAAUCAUAGACGCUUCAAUAAUAUUAUUGAUUUAUAAUUCAAUGAUCAUAAGAAAAAAUUCAGUACCUGGAAGCCCAGAGACUCUCUGCAUAGCCUUUUUCUUGUCCUUGUCAUCGUGUAUAUCCAAUUUCAACACGGCUUUCUGCAACAAAUUACAAGUUCAUGUAAAUUCUCUUAUAUAAUCAAGAAACUAGAAGAAAAGCAAGAAAAGAAAGCUUGACCCAUUCUUUCAUGCACGACAUGCUUCUUAAUCUCAUAGCUGGGC
rnacentral:lncRNA from 1 species